AGUCAAUAGAUACCCUGGUAGUCCUAGCUGUAAACGGUGCACGUUUGGUGUGGGAGGCAACCCCUUCCGUGCCGAAAGCUAAACGCGAUAAACGUGCCGCCUGGGUAGUACGGUCGCAAGACUAAAACUCAAAGAAAUUGACGGGGACCCGCACAAGCGGUGGAGUAUGUGGCUUAAUUCGAUGCAACGCGAAGAACCUUACCAGGGCUUGACAUGUAUUGUAACCCCGGUGAAAGCCGGGCAGCAUGGAAACAUGCGCUUUACACAGGUGCUGCAUGGCUGUCGUCAGCUCGUGUCGUGAGAUGUUGGGUUAAGUCCCGCAACGAGCGCAACCCUUAUGAUUUGUUGCCACCGGUUCAUUCCGAGCACUCAAAUCAGACUGCCCAGAUUAACUGGGAGGAAGGUGGGGAUGACGUCAAGUCCGUAUGGCCCUUACGUCCUGGGCUGCACACGUACUACAAUGUCCAGUACAAAUUGAACCGAUACCGCAAGUGAGGAAAUCAACAAAACUGGGCUCAGUUCAGAUUGCAGG
rnacentral:rRNA from 1 species